rnacentral:rRNA from 1 species
AUACGGAGGAUCCGAGCGUUAUCCGGAUUUAUUGGGUUUAAAGGGCGCGUAGGUGGAUUGUUAAGUCAGUUGUGAAAGUUUGCGGCUCAACCGUAAAAUUGCAGUUGAAACUGGCAGUCUUUAGUACAGUAUAGGUGGGCGGAAUUGGUGGGGUAGCGGUGGAAUGCUUAGAUAACACGAAGAACUCCGAUUGCGAAGGCAGCUCACUAGACUGUUACUGACACUGAUGCUCGAAAGUGUGGGUAUCAAACAGGAUUAGAUACCCUGGUAGUCCACACAGUAAACGAUGAAUACUCGCUGUUUGCGAUAUACAGUAAGCGGCCAAGCGAAAGCAUUAAGUAUUCCCCCUGGGGAGUACGCCGGCAACGGUGAAACUCAAAGGAAUUGGCGGGG